rnacentral:rRNA from 1 species
AAACUAGACUUUAUCGGACAUUCAAGGGCCCGCAUGGUUNGUCGUCAGCUCGUGCCGGAGGUGUUAGGUUAAGUCCUGCAAAGAGCGCAAACCCCUGGUCACUAGUUGCCAUCAUUAAGUUGGGGACUCUAGUGAGACUGCCUACGCAAGUAGAGAGGAAGGUGGGGAUGACGUCAAAUCAUCACGGCCCUUACGCCUUGGGCCACACACGUAAUACAAUGGCCAGUACAGAGGGCAGCUACACGGUGACUGUGAUGCAAAUCUCGAAAGCUGGUCUCAGUUCGGAUUGGAGUCUGCAACUCGACUCUAUGAAGCUGGAAUCGCUAGUAAUCGCGCAUCAGCCAUGGCGCGGUGAAUACGUUCCCGGG